rnacentral:rRNA from 3 species
UUAAGUGACAAAGCGUACAAGGUGGAUGCCUUGGCAAUCAGAGGCGAAGAAGGACGUGCUAAUCUGCGAAAAGCUUGGAUGAGUCGAUAAGAGGCGUUUAAUCCAAGAUGUCCGAAUGGGGAAACCCAGUGGGUGAAGAACCUACUAUCAUUAUCUGAAUUCAUAGGAUAAUGAGGCGAACCGGGAGAACUGAAACAUCUAAGUACCCCGAGGAAAAGAAAUCAACCGAGAUUUCGUUAGUAGCGGCGAGCGAACGCGAAGGAGCCUGUUAGUGAUAAUGACAGAGACAGAGGAACAAGCUGGGAAGCUUGGCGACACAGGGUGAUAGCCCCGUACUCGAAGUCCGGGUUAUGGUACUAAGCUAACGAUAAGUAAGGCGGGACACGUGAUAUCCUGUUUGAAGAUGGGGGGACCAUCCUCCAAGGCUAAAUACUCCUGAUUGACCGAUAGUGAACCAGUACUGUGAAGGAAAGGCGAAAAGAACCCCGGUGAGGGGAGUGAAAUAGAACCUGAAACCUUGUACGUACAAGCAGUGGGAGCCUGAAAGGGUGACUGCGUACCUUUUGUAUAAUGGGUCAGCGACUUAUAUUUUGUAGCGAGGUUAACCGAAUAGGGGAGCCGAAGGGAAACCGAGUCUUAACUGGGCGAUUAGUUGCAAGGUAUAGACCCGAAACCCGGUGAUCUAGCCAUGGGCAGGUUGAAGGUUGGGUAACACUAACUGGAGGACCGAACCGACUAAUGUUGAAAAAUUAGCGGAUGACUUGUGGCUGGGGGUGAAAGGCCAAUCAAACCGGGAGAUAGCUGGUUCUCCCCGAAAUCUAUUUAGGUAGAGCCUUGAGCGGACACCUUCGGGGGUAGAGCACUGUUUCGGCUAGGGGUCCAUCCCGGAUUACCAACCCGAUGCAAACUGCGAAUACCGAAGAGUGAUACUCAGGAGACACACGGCGGGUGCUAACGUUCGUCGUGGAGAGGGAAACAACCCAGACCGCCAGCUAAGGUCCCAAAGUCUAUAUUAAGUGGGAAACGAAGUGGGAAGGCUUAGACAGCUAGGAUGUUGGCUUAGAAGCAGCCAUCAUUUAAAGAAAGCGUAAUAGCUCACUAGUCGAGUCGGCCUGCGCGGAAGAUGUAACGGGGCUCAAAUAUAGCACCGAAGCUGCGGCAUCAGUAGCAAUACUGUUGGGUAGGGGAGCGUUGUGUAAGCGGAAGAAGGUGGCUCGAGAGGGCUGUUGGACGUAUCACAAGUGCGAAUGCUGACAUAAGUAACGAUAAAACGGGUGAAAAACCCGUUCGCCGGAAGACCAAGGGUUCCUGUCCAACGUUAAUCGGGGCAGGGUGAGUCGGCCCCUAAGGCGAGGCUGAAAAGCGUAGUCGAUGGGAAACGGGUUAAUAUUCCCGUACUUGGAUAAACUGCGAUGUGGGGACGGAGCAGGUUAGGUUAGCGUGCUGUUGGAUAUGCACGUUUAAGUUGGUAGGUGGGGAGUUUAGGCAAAUCCGGACUUCCUUAACACUGAGAGAUGAUGACGAGGCUCUACGGAGCUGAAGUAACCGAUACCACACUUCCAGGAAAAGCCACUAAGCUUCAGGUUUAUCUAAACCGUACUGAAAACCGACACAGGUGGUCAGGUAGAGAAUACUCAGGCGCUUGAGAGAACUCGGGUGAAGGAACUAGGCAAAAUAGCACCGUAACUUCGGGAGAAGGUGCGCCGGCGUAGAUUGUAAGGGUUUACCCCUGAAGGUUGAACCGGUCGAAGUGACCCGCUGGCUGCAACUGUUUAUUAAAAACACAGCACUCUGCAAACACGAAAGUGGACGUAUAGGGUGUGAUGCCUGCCCGGUGCUGGAAGGUUAAUUGAUGGUGUUAUCGCAAGAGAAGCACUUGAUCGAAGCCCCAGUAAACGGCGGCCGUAACUAUAACGGUCCUAAGGUAGCGAAAUUCCUUGUCGGGUAAGUUCCGACCUGCACGAAUGGCAUAAUGAUGGCCAGGCUGUCUCCACCCGAGACUCAGUGAAAUUGAAAUCGCCGUGAAGAUGCGGUGUACCCGCGGCUAGACGGAAAGACCCCGUGAACCUUUACUAUAGCUUGACACUGAACAUUGAAUUUUGAUGUGUAGGAUAGGUGGGAGACUAUGAAGAUGAUACGCCAGUAUUGUUGGAGUCGACCUUGAAAUACCACCCUUUAACGUUUGAUGUUCUAACGAAGAUGACGAAACGUGGUCUCGGACAGUGUCUGGUGGGUAGUUUGACUGGGGCGGUCUCCUCCCAAAGAGUAACGGAGGAGCACGAAGGUUUGCUAAUGACGGUCGGACAUCGUCAGGUUAGUGCAAUGGUAUAAGCAAGCUUAACUGCGAGACGGACAAGUCGAGCAGGUACGAAAGUAGGUCAUAGUGAUCCGGUGGUUCUGCAUGGAAGGGCCAUCGCUCAACGGAUAAAAGGUACUCCGGGGAUAACAGGCUGAUACCGCCCAAGAGUUCAUAUCGACGGCGGUGUUUGGCACCUCGAUGUCGGCUCAUCACAUCCUGGGGCUGAAGUAGGUCCCAAGGGUAUGGCUGUUCGCCAUUUAAAGUGGUACGCGAGCUGGGUUUAGAACGUCGUGAGACAGUUCGGUCCCUAUCUGCCGUGGGCGUUGGAGAAUUGGUUGGGGCUGCUCCUAGUACGAGAGGACCGGAGUGGACGCACCGCUGGUGUUCCGGUUGUGUCGCCAGACGCAUUGCCGGGUAGCUAAGUGCGGAAGAGAUAAGUGCUGAAAGCAUCUAAGCACGAAACUUGCCAAGAGAUGAGUUCUCCCAGAUUAUAAAUCUGUAAGGGUUGUUUAAGACGAAGACGUAGAUAGGCAUGGUGUGUAAGUGGUGCGAGCCAUUGAGCUAACAUGUACUAAUUGCCCGAGAGGCUUAGCCAU